rnacentral:rRNA from 1 species
UAGUGAGUUUGAUCCUGGCUCAGAUUGAACGCUGGCGGCAUGCUUUACACAUGCAAGUCGAACGAAGCCUUCGGGCUUAGUGGCGCACGGGUGCGUAACGCGUGGGAAUCUGCCCUUGGGUUCGGAAUAACAGUUAGAAAUGACUGCUAAUACCGGAUGAUGUCUUCGGACCAAAGAUUUAUCGCCCAAGGAUGAGCCCGCGUAGGAUUAGCUAGUUGGUAGGGUAAAGGCCUACCAAGGCGACGAUCCUUAGCUGGUCUGAGAGGAUGAUCAGCCACACUGGGACUGAGACACGGCCCAGACUCCUACGGGGAGGCAGCAGUGGGGAAUAUUGGACAAUGGGGCGAAAGCCUGAUCCAGCAAUGCCGCGUGAGUGAUGAAGGCCCCUAGGGUUGUAAAGCUCUUUUACCCGGGAUGAUAAUGACAGUACCGGUAGAACUAAGCCCCGGCUAACUCCGUGCCAGCAGCCGCGGUAAAUCUGA